rnacentral:rRNA from 1 species
UACGGAGGGCGCGAGCGUUGUCCGGAUUUAUUGGGCGUAAAGAGCUCGUAGGCGGUCUGUUACGUCUGCUGUGAAAACCCAGGGCUUAACCCUGGGCUUGCAGUGGAUACGGGCAGACUAGAGGCAGGUAGGGGAGAAUGGAAUUCCCGGUGUAGCGGUGAAAUGCGCAGAUAUCGGGAGGAACACCGGUGGCGAAGGCGGUUCUCUGGGCCUGACCUGACGCUGAUGCGCGACAGCGUGGGGAGCAAACAGG